rnacentral:snRNA from 14 species
AGCUUUGCGCUCUGACAGAAUCACAGCCAAUGAGGCUUCUCCCAGGAGUGAUUACUGCUAAUUCAAAGUGCGACUCAAGAGGCGUUAGAAAGUUGUCUAGCUAGCCUAUCUUUCUCUCAGGCCUUGAAGGAGG